rnacentral:rRNA from 1 species
UACGAAGGGUGCAAGCGUUACUCGGAAUUACUGGGCGUAAAGCGUGCGUAGGUGGUUUGUUAAGUCUGUUGUGAAAGCCCCGGGCUCAACCUGGGAAUGGCAAUGGAUACUGGCAAGCUAGAGUGCGGUAGAGGGUAGUGGAAUUCCCGGUGGUAGCGGUGAAAUGCGUAGAGAUCGGGAGGAACACCGGUGGCGAAGGCGGUCUGCUGGGCAGUAGCUGACACUGAGGCGCGACAGCGUGGGGAGCAAACAGG